rnacentral:tRNA from 1 species
GGUUGUGGCUCAACGUUAGAGUGCUCGCCUCGCACAUGAGAGGCCCUGGGUUCGAUCCUCAGCACCA